UUAUAGAAUAAAACCAGGGGUAGGGAUCCAUAAGAGAUAGUGCAGUGGCCCAGGCUAGCGACAAAGGAGCGGUUACCACCCCCAGGCCUGAAGCGUUGAGGGAAGAGAGGAGGUUCCAGAAUCCAGAAGGAAAGAGUUAUGCAGAUGGAGCUGCCUUGAGAGCAGCAGUGACCUUCAGUUGGAGGACACAGGCAGUCAGACAGGACCGCACAACGAGCCGAGGCCAUCAGCAGCCUGCACUCACUCCUCUUCCCCUUCAGUCUCUUUCUGAGGCAGGAGUCUGUUGGAUACAACCAGGGCAGGCUGUUGGACUCAAAGAGGAGGCUGCUGAGGAGUUUCAUCCAGGAAUGUUCCAGACAUUGCAAAUAAGAAGAGUGAAGGAUGACAGAUCAAUUAGCUGAGAGAUAAAAAAUGAGAAGACUGGGGGGACAUUGGUACUGGAAAAUUUCACUUACCUGAGCAGCCAGGAUCCAGGGGAAGCUGACGUUGAAGAGAGGAUAAAUACAAAGUGUUUCCUGGUGCCUUUACUAAUGUGGCAAUAGAAAGAACAAGCUCAAGAAAUUCAAUCAAAGUUGCAGAUAAUAGCAACUUCCCAUUGCUUUAAAAAGUAAUAAUAACCACAACACACUAUGAGAUAAAGCUCCAGGAGAAACAAUAAAGAGAAGAAAUGCACCUUUGAGAGUUGGGGUUCUAAAUGGCAAUAAUCACUUGCCAAAGAUUAUCGUGUGACUAUUAGCCACAACUAUUCCUCAUCCAGCAAGAGCUGAGGAUCAUAAGGCCAUCAGAGAUUCAUCCUGUGUGAAAGGUAAAUAUCUGAGUGGAAUGGCUGGAUCAUAUGGUAG